GAUACAGCCAGGCACGACCUGUUAGAACAGAAAAUACGUCACUACUUGGAGUGAAUUUUGGACAUCUUUUUAAAACCAACAGCAUCCACAUCGAUAAAUGAAAUCAUUGCAUUUUAUGCAUGAAACAAAUUGGAUUUUGCGUGUGAUGAAUUUGCCGAAUGAUCUGAUACUAAUUGUUUAAAAUAUUGUACACAUGGCAAUAAUGAACUUGACGGAUUUCAUCAACUCUGUACAUAUUUUUACAAUUUGAGCAAGUUAAGUCUGCACUUUCCCGAUCAACCAUAUUUAUACAGUUUGGAGUACAGAACUACUAAAGCCAAUAUGCACAAAAACAUCCAUUUGAGAUAAGCUGUGCGAUACUGUCCAAUAUUAAAAAGCCUGAGCUGCAAAAGUAGGCAUCCAGGAGGAGCUAAUAACAAUAAACUUGCGAGAGAGACCUGGAUGUAUAAUGGAAUUGUUAUUGCAACAUAUACUUCACAUCAAAGUGUACCUUUUCCAAUGGAAGUUAGUACGCUUUGCAACGCAUGUAUCACGACGACAGUAUCUUGGUGACUGAGUUCUCUCGCAGUUCCCCAAUAUCCAUGUCUUUCUACGCGUAAUCCAUGUCGUAAGGCUCGGUCUAACCAAUAAACCAACCAGGAAUCACCGUCCAGGACCACCGUACCAUGCAGACUCUGAGCGUAUACCUAACACAAGCACAUAGAAACUCAUGGUUACACGAGACAGCGAGACUCAUCGAAAAGGAUGACCCAUUGGUUGCUCGAUGGUAAAAAAGUUGGGAAGAUAUGAAAGGGACAAAGGAAAGUGUUAAAGGUUAGUUAUGUGUAUGGAGCAUGCUAGAGAUUGUUAGAGAAAAUGCGAAUGUUCUGAUGAAUCAAUGAAACAUCGACAUAUAGUUCAUGAUGGAAAAUGGCUACAUUACGGAAAGACGGCGAAUGCAAUAGGCUGUAAGCAAAAAUAAUUUGUCUCUGUAUAAAUGCCCAAAUAGAAUAAAUUCUUAUAAUGCUGGUAUACGGAAGCUGUGAUGAGGCGUGUUUUAAGCUUGAAGUAAUAUCAUUUUGCGCAGCGUGAUUGGUAAUGACAAUGGUAAUUGAAGCGAGAGUGACGUUAGGAAUUGUGUGAACAGAAAUA